rnacentral:rRNA from 1 species
GGCGUUAAGUUGCAGGGUAUAGACCCGAAACCCGGUGAUCUAGCCAUGGGCAGGUUGAAGGUUGGGUAACACUAACUGGAGGACCGAACCGACUAAUGUUGAAAAAUUAGCGGAUGACCUGUGGCUGGGGGUGAAAGGCCAAUCAAACCGGGAGAUAGCUGGUUCUCCCCGAAAGCUAUUUAGGUAGCGCCUCGUGAAUUCAUCUCCGGGGGUAGAGCACUGUUUCGGCUAGGGGGCCAUCCCGGCUUACCAACCCGAUGCAAACUGCGAAUACCGGAGAAUGUUAUCACGGGAGACACACGGCGGGUGCUAACGUCCGUCGUGAAGAGGGAAACAACCCAGACCGCCAGCUAAGGUCCCAAAGUCAUGGUUAAGUGGGAAACGAUGUGGGAAGGCCCAGACAGCCAGGAUGUUGGCUUAGAAGCAGCCAUCAUUUAAAGAAAGCGUAAUAGCUCACUGGUCGAGUCGGCCUGCGCGGAAGAUGUAACGGGGCUAAACCAUGCACCGAAGCUGCGGCAGCGACGCUGAUGCGUUGUUGGGUAGGGGAGCGUUCUGUAAGCCUGUGAAGGUGGCCUGUGAGGGUUGCUGGAGGUAUCAGAAGUGCGAAUGCUGACAUAAGUAACGAUAAAGCGGGUGAAAAGCCCGCUCGCCGGAAGACCAAGGGUUCCUGUCCAACGUUAAUCGGGGCAGGGUGAGUCGACCCCUAAGGCGAGGCCGAAAGGCGUAGUCGAUGGGAAACGGGUUAAUAUUCCCGUACUUGGUGUUACUGCGAAGGGGGGACGGAGAAGGCUAUGUUGGCCGGGCGACGGUUGUCCCGGUUUAAGCGUGUAGGUGUGUGUUCCAGGUAAAUCCGGUUCACUUUAACACUGAGGCGUGAUGACGAGGCACUACGGUGCUGAAGCAACAAAUGCCCUGCUUCCAGGAAAAGCCUCUAAGCAUCAGGUAACAUCAAAUCGUACCCCAAACCGACACAGGUGGUCAGGUAGAGAAUACCAAGGCGCUUGAGAGAACUCGGGUGAAGGAACUAGGCAAAAUGGUGCCGUAACU